UGAUCAGUCGACCUUAUGACAUUGUU
rnacentral:piRNA from 1 species